rnacentral:lncRNA from 1 species
GAAUGGAGCAUACACCACAGAUUGUAGUUCCUUGCGUUUUGGGGCCUUCAACCAACUACGAUAACAUAGACGUAAGGUUAGCCAUUUGGGAUUGUAACUCAGAAAUAGAACUUACCUUAUUGACAUGAUGUGGCCGUGGGGUGUCUCUUUGCCCAACACCUUCAUAUUGUUGUGCAUUGAGUGCUCGAUUCGCAAUGAGAGUUUUGGCAUCCCUAGGUGUCUUAUCCACUAGAGCUCCUCCCGUGGAAGCAUCCAACAUUUGCCGUUCAAG